GAUGAACGCUGGCUACAGGCUUAACACAUGCAAGUCGAGGGGAAACGACGGGGAAGCUUGCUUCCCCGGGCGUCGACCGGCGCACGGGUGAGUAAACGCGUAUCCAACCUGCCUCUGACUGAGGGAUAACCCGUCGAAAGUCGGCCUAAUACCUCAUGGCAUCGUCUGCGGGCAUCCAACGACGAUUAAAGAUUUCAUCGGUCAGGGAUGGGGAUGCGUCUGAUUAGCUAGUUGGCGGGGUAACGGCCCACCAAGGCGACGAUCAGUAGGGGUUCUGAGAGGAAGGUCCCCCACAUUGGAACUGAGACACGGUCCAAACUCCUACGGGAGGCAGCAGUGAGGAAUAUUGGUCAAUGGGCGAGAGCCUGAACCAGCCAAGUAGCGUGCAGGAUGACGGCCCUAUGGGUUGUAAACUGCUUUUAUGCGGGGAUAAAGUGAGGGACGUGUCCUUCAUUGCAGGUACCGCAUGAAUAAGGACCGGCUAAUUCCGUGCCAGCAGCCGCGGUAAUACGGAAGGUCCGGGCGUUAUCCGGAUUUAUUGGGUUUAAAGGGAGCGUAGGCCGUGGAUUAAGCGUGUUGUGAAAUGCAGGUGCUCAACGUCUGCACUGCAGCGCGAACUGGUCCACUUGAGUGUGCACAACGCAGGCGGAAUUCGUCGUGUAGCGGUGAAAUGCUUAGAUAUGACGAAGAACUCCGAUUGCGAAGGCAGCUUGCGGGAGCACAACUGACGCUGAAGCUCGAAAGUGCGGGUAUCGAACAGG
rnacentral:rRNA from 1 species